AAAUUAAAUGAAAAGUAAUAAUAAAAUUUUAAAAUUUAAGUUUAAGGAAUUAGGCAAAUAUUUUUAAAAAAUAUAAAUUUAUAUUUACCUGUUUAUCAAAAACAUGUCUUAUUGAUUUAAAUAAUAAGUUUAUUCUGCCCAUUGAAAUAAAAAUUUUAAAAGGCUGCAGUAUAUUAACUGUACAAAGGUAGCAAAAUCAAUAGUUUUUUAAUUGAAAACUUGAAUGAAAGAAUUAAUAAAAUAUAUUCUGUCUCAAAUUUAAUUAAUUUAUUAAAUUUAAAUAAAAAGUUAAAAUGCUUUUAUUGAUUUAUUAGACGAUAAGACCCUAAGAAUUUAAGAAUUUUAUUUUAUAAUUAAAUUUUAUAAUUAAUUAAUUAAUAAAUUAAUUUUUUUUUAUUGGGAGGGUAAUUAAAUUUUUAAACUUUAAUUAUUUAUAAA
rnacentral:rRNA from 1 species